ACUGAUCUCUCUGCGAGCAAUCUACCCUAUGGCAAGUUUGAUGAGUGUCAUUCUAUUCAGCUCGCAUAAAUCUACAAAUUUGUAUUCCUCAUGUUGCAGUUUGCCGAGCUUCCUUCUAUAAGAUUUGGUGAACUCAGUCUGAGAUGGGAAAGCGUUCUACACAUCCACAAGAAGAUUAUCCAGAAAUAUCAACCAUGUUGCAGCAUGAGAUGCACAACAGCGGCUCGGCGAACUGUGUCGCGCCUGCGCCCUUUAUUCUAAAAGCUUCAUCCGUCCCAUGUAUUCCGACCUCGGCGGUUGCAUUUCUUUCGUAUCGAUUCCUGCACGAGGAGCUUGAGCAGAGGCUUCUGACCGCGGGCCUUCCUUGGUGUAGACACUGCAGUGUCCAUUAGCUCCGUUCCACCGCGAGCAGGGAGCAGCUACUUCGCAGACAUAACAGAAACACUGCACCCAGAAGACAGACUGGGAAUGGUGGCCUUCAAUUGAGAUGGGGAAGCGUUGUAGUGUGGGUUCUAAGUGUACCUUGCUACAGUAGCUCUCAUGAGCGGUGCAGUUGAAGGGGAAGUUUGCACAGA